AUAAAAACACAAGUAUAGGCUGGAGGACUGAUACUAUAAGUAGGACAAAGGCCUUCAAAGAGAAAUGAAAGGAUUUUUUUAGCAUUUUUCCACUUUAUCCAAGGAAUCCCUUUCUUGGCAUUUGUAUUUGAGAGAGAGAGCUAUGCUUAGGUCAGUUCCUUCAGUCAACUUUUUUGGUAAGCCAAAAGUGAACUUUAGGUAAGUAAG
rnacentral:lncRNA from 1 species